UACGGGGGGGGCAAGCGUUGUUCGGAAUUACUGGGCGUAAAGGGCGCGUAGGCGGCCAACUAAGUCAGACGUGAAAUCCCCAGGCUCGACCUGGGAACUGCGUCUGAUACUGGAUGGCUCGAGUUCGGGAGAGGGAAGCGGAAUUCCAGGUGUAGCGGUGAAAUGCGUAGAUAUCUGGAGGAACACCGGUGGCGAAGGCGGCUUCCUGGACCGACACUGACGCUGAGGAGCGAAAGUGUGGGGAGCGAACAGG
rnacentral:rRNA from 1 species